UGGGGAAUAUUGCACAAUGGGCGAAAGCCUGAUGCAGCGACGCCGCGUGAGGGAUGACGGCCUUCGGGUUGUAAACCUCUUUCAGCAGGGACGAAGCGCAAGUGACGGUACCUGCAGAAGAAGCACCGGCUAACUACGUGCCAGCAGCCGCGGUAAUACGUAGGGUGCAAGCGUUGUCCGGAAUUACUGGGCGUAAAGAGUUCGUAGGCGGUUUGUCGCGUCGUUUGUGAAAACCAGCAGCUCAACUGCUGGCUUGCAGGCGAUACGGGCAGACUUGAGUACUGCAGGGGAGACUGGAAUUCCUGGUGUAGCGGUGAAAUGCGCAGAUAUCAGGAGGAACACCGGUGGCGAAGGCGGGUCUCUGGGCAGUAACUGACGCUGAGGAACGAAAGCGUGGGUAGCGAACAAG
rnacentral:rRNA from 1 species